AUUAAUGUCUGGGAAACUGCCUGAUGGAGGGGGAUAACUACUGGAAACGGUAGCUAAUACCGCAUAAUGUCGCAAGACCAAAGGGGGGGACCUUCGGGCCUCAUGCCAUCAAAUGUGCCCAGAUGGGAUUAGCUAGUAGGUGGGGUAACGGCUCACCUAGGGGACGAUCCCUAGCUGGUCUGAGAGGAUGACCAGCCACACUGGAACUGAGACACGGUCCAAACUCCUACGGGAGGCAGCAGUGGGGAAUAUUGCACAAUGGGCCCAAGCCUGAUGCAGCCAUGCCGCGUGGGUGAAGAAGGCCUUCGGGUUGUAAAGCACUUUCGGCGGGGAGGAAGGCGUUAAGGUUAAUAACCUUGGCGAUUGACG
rnacentral:rRNA from 1 species